rnacentral:misc_RNA from 1 species
AAAAAGGAAAAACUAUGCAUUUUGAAUGUUUGGUUUGUUUCUGCUUGCUAGCCCUAGUCAUCAGUUUUUUUGUCAUGCUUCACAUGGAGUUGGUUUUGUGUUAGCUAUGCACUGUUUUUGCUCUUAUUGGAUUGCCUUGGAAUUGCUUCAGUCUAAAUCAAGAGUCUAGAUUCUUUAGUUCUUAUAUGUGGCAAUUUUGUCAAGCAUCACUUAGAGUGAGUUUGUGUUAUCUUUGCAGUGUCCUGUUCGUACUAGGUUGCCUUUAGA